rnacentral:rRNA from 1 species
GAGAAAGAUGGGGGGAGGCCUAACACAUGCAAGUCGAACGAACCUUUCGGGGUUAGUGGCGGACGGGUGAGUAACACGUGGGAACGUGCCUUUAGGUUCGGAAUAACUCAGGGAAACUUGUGCUAAUACCGAAUGUGCCCUUCGGGGGAAAGAUUUAUCGCCUUUAGAGCGGCCCGCGUCUGAUUAGCUAGUUGGUUGAGGUAAUGGCUCACCAAGGCGACGAUCAGUAGCUGGUCUGAGAGGAUGAUCAGCCACAUUGGGGCUGAGACACGGCCCAAACUCCUACGGGAGGCAGCAGUGGGGAAUCUUGCGCAAUGGGCGAAAGCCUGACGCAGCCAUGCCGCGUGAAUGAUGAAGGUCUUAGGAUUGUAAAAUUCUUUCACCGGGGACGAUAAUGACGGUACCCGGAGAAGAAGCCCCGGCUAACUUCGUG